AGAAUAUCUUCAUACUCGUCCUUUUAAUAUUGCUCAAAAAGGACGGAACAUGAAUUUUACAUUUAAAGACUCUUAAAUUUUAGUGCACGCUCCAAGCAAUAGGCUCGCGACUGCCAGCUAAAGUUAUGAGGUUUCAUAGCUCUAAAUUAAAUUUUAAACUGUCAAACCGUGUCUGUCCUUUUCAUAUUACGUUAGUAAGAAGAGGAUG